UCCGUAGGGUGAACCUGCGGAAGGAUCAUUACCGAGUGAGGGCCCUCUGGGUCCAACCUCCCACCCGUGUUUAUUUUACCUUGUUGCUUCGGCGGGCCCGCCUUAACUGGCCGCCGGGGGGCUUACGCCCCCGGGCCCGCGCCCGCCGAAGACACCCUCGAACUCUGUCUGAAGAUUGUAGUCUGAGUGAAAAUAUAAAUUAUUUAAAACUUUCAACAACGGAUCUCUUGGUUCCGGCAUCGAUGAAGAACGCAGCGAAAUGCGAUACGUAAUGUGAAUUGCAAAUUCAGUGAAUCAUCGAGUCUUUGAACGCACAUUGCGCCCCCUGGUAUUCCGGGGGGCAUGCCUGUCCGAGCGUCAUUGCUGCCCUCAAGCACGGCUUGUGUGUUGGGCCCCGUCCUCCGAUCCCGGGGGACGGGCCCGAAAGGCAGCGGCGGCACCGCGUCCGGUCCUCGAGCGUAUGGGGCUUUGUCACCCGCUCUGUAGGCCCGGCCGGCGCUUGCCGAUCAACCCAAAUUUUUAUCCAGGUUGACCUCGGAUCAGGUAGGGAUACCCGCUGAACUUAAGCAUAUCAAUAAGCGGAGG
rnacentral:rRNA from 1 species